AGAGUUUGAUCCUGGUUCAGAACGAACGCUGGCGGCGUGCCUAACACAUGCAAGUCGAACGGGGAUAGAUAGCUUGCUAUUUAUUCUAGUGGCGCACGGGUGAGUAACGCGUAGAUAAUCUGCCUUGGACUCUGGGAUAACAUUUCGAAAGGGGUGCUAAUACCGGAUAAGCCCACGGGGACGUAAGUUCUUGCGGGAAAAGGGGGCCUCUGCAUAUGCUCUUGAUCCAAGAUGAGUCUGCGUACCAUUAGCUAGUUGGUAGGGUAAGAGCCUACCAAGGCGACGAUGGUUAGCUGGUCUGAGAGGAUGAUCAGCCACACUGGAACUGAGACACGGUCCAGACUCCUACGGGAGGCAGCAGUGGGGAAUUUUGCGCAAUGGGGGAAACCCUGACGCAGCAACGCCGCGUGAGUGAUGAAGGCUUUCGGGUCGUAAAGCUCUGUCUAGAGGGAAGAAAUGAUAUUGGGUUAAUACCCUGAUUUCUUGACGGUACCUCUGAAGGAAGCACCGGCUAACUCCGUGCCAGCAGCCGCGGUAAUACGGAGGGUG
rnacentral:rRNA from 1 species